UGGGGAAUAUUGCACAAUGGGCGCAAGCCUGAUGCAGCCAUGCCGCGUGUAUGAAGAAGGCCUUCGGGUUGUAAAGUACUUUCAGUCGGGAGGAAGGUGGUAAGGUUAAUAACCUUAUCAAUUGACGUUACCGACAGAAGAAGCACCGGCUAACUCCGUGCCAGCAGCCGCGGUAAUACGGAGGGUGCAAGCGUUAAUCGGAAUUACUGGGCGUAAAGCGCACGCAGGCGGUUGAUUGAGUCAGAUGUGAAAUCCCCGGGCUUAACCCGGGAAUUGCAUCUGAUACUGGUCAGCUAGAGUCUUGUAGAGGGGGGUAGAAUUCCAUGUGGAGCGGUGAAAUGCGUAGAGAUGUGGAGGAAUACCGGUGGCGAAGGCGGCCCCCUGGACAAAGACUGACGCUCAGGUGCGAAAGCGUGGGGAGCAAACAGG
rnacentral:rRNA from 1 species